rnacentral:rRNA from 1 species
GAUGAACGCUAGCGGCAGGCUUAAUACAUGCAAGUCAAGGGGGUAGCAAUACAACCGGCGCACGGGUGAGUAACGCGUACACAACAUACCAUAUACUGGAGUAUAGCUUUGGGAAACUGAAGGUAAUCCUCCAUAACAUUGCGAGAGGGCAUCUGAUUGCAAUUAAAGUUUCGGCGGUAUAUGAUUGGUGUGCGUUUGAUUAGCUAGUUGGUAGGGUAACGGCCUACCAAGGCGACGAUCAAUAGCUGGCGUGAGAGCGCGACCAGCCACACUGGAACUGAGACACGGUCCAGACUCCUACGGGAGGCAGCAGUAGGGAAUAUUGGACAAUGGAGGAAACUCUGAUCCAGCCAUGCCGCGUGAUAGAUGAAGGCCCUCUGGGUUGUAAAUAUCUUUUAAUCUGGGAAGAAACACUCCUAUUCUUAGGAACUUGACGGUACCAGAGGAAUAAGCACCGGCUAACUCCGUGCCAGCAGCCGCGGUAAAGUAUCG